rnacentral:lncRNA from 1 species
UGAUGGGUAGGGGAAGACAAAUGAGGGAAGGGGAGGGCAAGAGGCAAGGAUGCAGUUUUUGGUUUUUUUUUAAUCUUCUUUUUUCUAAAAAAUUAGUUUCCGUUUUCAUUUUUUUUCUAAAAUUAAUUUUAUUUACCAUUGUUUUAUAGAUUUUAAUUAUAAUUUUUAAUUUUUAAUUAAUAUUUUGUGAAAAAUAGGGUAAAGUGAGGCAAAAUAAGUUUUAAGGGGCAAUGUUAGACUCAAAUACAC